AGGGUGUAAACGCUGCAGACUUGGUGUUGGAAGUCCUUUGGGGGCAUUCAGUGCCGGAGAGAAGUUGUUAAGUCUGCUACUUGGGGAGUACGUCCGCAAGGAUGAAACUUAAAGGAAUUGGCGGGGGAGCACCGCAACGGGAGGAGCGUGCGGUUUAAUUGGAUUCAACACCAUAAAACUCACCAGGGAAGACUGUUACAUGAAAGCCGAGAUGAAGACUCUGCUAGAUUUUCAGAGAGGUGGUGCAUGGCGUCAGUGACU
rnacentral:rRNA from 1 species